UUGACCUCGGAUCAGGUAGGGAUACCCGCUGAACUUAAGCAUAUCAGUAAGCGGAGGA
rnacentral:rRNA from 1 species